AACGAACGCUGGCGGCGUGCCUAACACAUGCAAGUCGAACGGGAAAACCCGCAAGGGUGAGUACAGUGGCGCACGGGUGCGUAACACGUGGGUAAUCUGCCCAGAAGCCCGGAAUAACUCCCCGAAAGGGGUGCUAAUGCCGGAUGAGACCACGGGGACUUCGGUUCCUGGGGGAAAAGGUGGCCUCUGUAUACAAGCUAUCACUCCUGGCUGAGCCCGCGGCCCAUCAGCUAGUUGGCGGGGUAAUGGCCAACCAAGGCUACGACGAGUAGCUGGUCUGAGAGGACGAUCAGCCACACUGGAACUGAGACACGGUCCAGACUCCUACGGGAGGCAGCAGUGGGGAAUCUUGCGCAAUGGGCGAAAGCCUGACGCAGCAACGCCGCGUGUGUGAUGAAGGUCUUCGGAUCGUAAAGCACUGUCGGGAGGGACGAAUAAGGGCCGGGUGAACAAUCCGGUUCGACGACGGUACCUCCAGAGGAAGCACCGGCUAACUCUGUGCCAGCCGCCGCAGUAAUAC
rnacentral:rRNA from 1 species